GAGAGAGAAAGGUAGACAUGCUUGAAUUUCCCAGCCCUCUUCGCUACUGAUGUUGCUCUCCCCUGUACACCGCUCCGCCUGAGCACGUUCCAGCUAUGCACUGUUGGGCGGCUGAACCCCCUGCUGAAUCCUUCAGUCAUAGACCACUCACCCACAUCCACCCUCCCUGGCAGUGGGUAAACGACAAAUGAAAAGAUUCUCUCUAUCAAGUCAAUUGGCAAGGGCAGGUGGCAGAGUACCCAAGGAUGCUGUGGCUCUCCGUGCAGUUUCGUGUCUCCAAGAUCAAACACAGAGAUCACGGGAAGAGCAGGUGAUCAGCGGGUGACAACAGAUGACUGGACUAGGUUCCGGAUGAGUUGUGCAACUCAGACGAAAUGGAUGGCUCCAUUUAAAAUGACUUCAGAAGUAUCAAAGGAGGCCUCUGUAGUCCCUGCUCGAGCCUUCAGACUCGAACAUUAUUUCCCGAUCCUGCUGGCGUUACUAUUGAGAGUGCGAAGGAAAUGUGAAAAGGGCUCUCAUCAUUCAGCCCUCUCCCCCAAAUGCUUUUUCCAAAGAGAAGCUGAAACUUGGUAUGUGGGUUUUAGAAUGAGGCUGAAAUAAUCCACUCCCCAACCCCCAACCCCAUCACAGAAAUGCCCCUGGGGCACAAGAAAAUGGGAGUGUUGAAUGGAAAAAAUAUCACAUUGUUUUUCCAUUUCUUACCAGGAGAUUGUAACCCACGAUUUUUCCUCCACCCCAAAGAAGUAAUCAUUUCCAUUAUGGGACUGUCUGUCAACUCAUUUUUAUUCAGCAGUAGAAAAUGAACAGCUCACUAAACAAACAAAUGACUUUUAGAAUAGCCAAUAUAAAACCAACUGCCUCCUCUGUUUUAUGUGGAUAAAUAUAUUGCCAGAUUUUAAAUUCGA